AACGCACAUUGCGCCCCUUGGUAUUCCGAGGGGCAUGCCUGUUCGAGCGUCAUUAUGACCACUCAAGCCUAGCUUGGUAUUGAGGUUCGCGGUUCUGCGGCCUCUAAAAUCAGUGGCGGUGCCGUCUGGCUUCAAGCGUAGUAAUUUUCUCGCUACGGAGUCUAGGCAGUUGCUUGCCAAAACAACUUCUCAAGGUUGACCUCGGAUCAGGUAGGGAUACCCGCUGAACUUAA
rnacentral:misc_RNA from 1 species